CCCUUAGAUGUUCUGGGCAGCACGCGCGCUACAAUGGUCUUCGCAAACGGAUGCAUUCUCGAAGGAGAAUGCCAAUCUUGGAAUCUAUGCCUUGGUCGGGACAGUUGCUUGCAAUUUUUCGACUCGAACCAGGAAUUCCUUGUAAUCGUGAUUCAUCACAUCACGAUGAAUACGUCCCUGCCCUUUGUACACACCGCCCGUCGCUCCUACCGAUCGAAGAGUUAGGUGAAUUGUUUAGAUCGAUAAGAUUUGACUAUGGUCAACUCUCGUUGUGAAAUUCUGUGAAUCUGACUGUUUAGAGGAAGGAAAAGUCGUAACA
rnacentral:rRNA from 1 species